rnacentral:rRNA from 1 species
GAUGUGAAANNCGGGGGCUCAACCUNCNGGACUGCAUCCGAUACUGCCAAGCUAGAGUACUGGAGAGGUGUCUAGAAUUCUCGGUGUAGCAGUGAAAUGCGUAGAUAUCGAGAGGAAUACCAAUGGCGAAGGCGGGACACUGGACAGUUACUGACGCUGAGGCACGAAGGCUAGGGUAGCGAACGGGAUUAGAUACCCCGGUAGUCCUAGCAGUAAACGGUGCACGUUUGGUGUGGGGGGAUUCGACCCCUUCCGCGCCGGAGCUAACGCGUUAAGCGUGCCGCCUGGGAAGUACGAUCGCAAGAUUAAAACUCAAAGAAAUUGACGGGGACCCGCACAAGCGGUGGAGUAUGUGGCUUAAUUCGAUGCAACGCGAAGAACCUUACCUGGUCUUGACAUGCACUGUGUCUCCGGUGAAAGCCGGAUAGUGUAGCAAUACACGCUCUGCACAGGUGCUGCAUGGCUGUCGUCAGCUCGUGUUGUGAGAUGUUGGGUUAAGUCCCGCAACGAGCGCAACCCCUGUGAUUUGUUGCCAUCGGGUAAUGCCAGGCACUCGAAUCAGACUGCCUAGAUCAACUAGGAGGAAGGUGGGGACGACGUCAAGUCCGUAUGGCCCUUACGACCAGGGCUGCACACGUACUACAAUGCCCAGCACAAUGUGAACCGAUACCGCGAGGUGGAGGAAAUCUAUAAAACUGGGCUCAGUUCAGAUUGCAGGCUGCAACUCGCCUGCAUGAAGUUGGAAUCGCUAGUAAUGGCGCAUCAGCUACGGCGCCGUGAAUACGUUCCCGGGUCUUGUACACACCGCCCGUCACAUCAUGGAAGCUGGUUUCGCCCGAAGUGCCUGCGCCAACCGUAAGGAGGCAGGGCCCUAAGGCAAGACUGGUAACUGGGAUGAAGUCGUAACAAGGUAACCAAGGGCGAA